rnacentral:rRNA from 1 species
AACGAACGCUGGCGGCAGGCUUAACACAUGCAAGUCGAGCGCCCCGCAAGGGGAGCGGCAGACGGGUGAGUAACGCGUGGGAAUCUACCCAUCUCUACGGAAUAACGCAUGGAAACGUGUGCUAAUACCGUAUACGUCCUUCGGGAGAAAGAUUUAUCGGAGAUGGAUGAGCCCGCGUUGGAUUAGCUAGUUGGUGGGGUAAAGGCCUACCAAGGCGACGAUCCAUAGCUGGUCUGAGAGGAUGAUCAGCCACACUGGGACUGAGACACGGCCCAGACUCCUACGGGAGGCAGCAGUGGGGAAUAUUGGACAAUGGGCGCAAGCCUGAUCCAGCCAUGCCGCGUGAGUGAUGAAGGCCCUAGGGUUGUGAAGCUCUUUCACCGGUGAGGAUAAUGACGGUAACCGGAGAAGAAGCCCCGGCUAAUUUCGUGCCAGCCGCCGCCGUAAGAC